CCUCAGUAACGGCGAGUGAAGCGGCAAAAGCUCAAAUUUGAAAUCCUCCGGGAAUUGUAAUUUGAAGGUGGGGUUGAAUAGGUCUAGAUACUUUAAGUCCAUUGGAAAAUGGCGCCAUGGAGGGUGAUAGCCCCGUAAAAGUAUUCAAACCUUCUUUUCUUCCCCUCCUAAGAGUCGAGUUGUUUGGGAAUGCAGCUCUAAGUGGGUGGUAAAUUCCAUCUAAAGCUAAAUAUUGGCGAGAGACCGAUAGCGAACAAGUACAGUGAUGGAAAGAUGAAAAGCACUUUGAAAAGAGAGUGAAAAAGUACGUGAAAUUGUUGAAAGGGAAGGGCUUGCAAGCAGACACAACCUCGGUUGGGCCAGCAUCGGAGUGGGGGGAGACAAAAAAGGUUAGGAAUGUAGCUCCCUUUAGAGUAUUAUAUCCUAGCCCUAUAUCUCCAUCCCCUUCCGAGGCCUGCGAUUCUUCAAGGAUGCUGGCGUAAUGGUUGCAAGUCGCCCGUCUUGAAACACGGACCAAGGAGUCUCACGUCUAUGCGAGUGUUUGAGUAUCAAACCCAAACGCGCAAUGAAAGUAAUAGGAG
rnacentral:rRNA from 1 species